UACGUAGGGGGCAAGCGUUGUCCGGAAUCAUUGGGCGUAAAGCGCGUGUAGGCGGCUCGAUAAGUCUGCUGUGAAAGUUCAGGGCUCAACCCUGAAAUGCCGGUGGAAACUGUCGAGCUAGAGUCCGGAAGAGGCGAGUGGAAUUCCUGGUGUAGCGGUGAAAUGCGCAGAUAUCAGGAGGAACACCAAUGGCGAAGGCGGCCUGCUGGGCAGUAGCUGACGCUGAGGCGCGACAGCGUGGGGAGCAAACAGG
rnacentral:rRNA from 1 species